rnacentral:rRNA from 1 species
GACGGAGGUUGCGAGCGUUGUUCGGAAUUACUGGGCGUAAAGGGGGCGCAGGCGGCUCGGUAAGUGGAAAGUGAAAGCCCGGGGCUCAACCCCGGAAGGGCUUUCCAUACUGCCGGGCUCGAGUUCGGGAGAGGAAGGUGGAAUUCCGGGUGUAGCGGUGAAAUGCGUAGAUAUCCGGAGGAACACCAAUGGCGAAAGCAGCCUUCUGGCCCGAAACUGACGCUGAGGCCCGAAAGCGUGGGGAGCAAACAGG